ACACCGUUGGUGAAGUGGUUAUCAUGCUUGCCUUCCAUCCAGAAUAGAAGCAAGCGGCUCGGGUUCGAUUCCCGAACGGUGUA
rnacentral:tRNA from 1 species